GGAUGUGAGGGCGAUCUGGCUGCGACAUCUGUCACCCCAUUGAUCGCCAGGGUUGAUUCGGCUGAUCUGGCUGGCUAGGCGGGUGUCCCCUUCCUCCCUCACCGCUCCAUGUGCGUCCCUCCCGAAGCUGCGCGCUCGGUCGAAGAGGACGACCAUCCCCGAUAGAGGAGGACCGUUCUUCGGUCAAGGGUAUACGAGUAGCUGCGCUCCCCUGCUAGAACCUCCAAACAAGCUCUCAAAGGCAGGCGCCAAACCACUGCGCCACCCAGGGAUCCCAUCAACACUCCUUUUCCACUCUUAUUGUGGGUGGAAUAUAUGACUGAUAAAU
rnacentral:snRNA from 1 species